UUUCUUUUUCGAAUAAAUAUAUACUAUAUAUAUAUAUGCUCUAAGGUAUCGUUUGAUUCGGGGAUAAAGAAAAAGUGGCUAUUCCAGGGAUAGGUAUAAAUUGAGGUAUAAGCGAGGAUUAGAUCAAUUUUGCGUUUGAAUGAAAAUUGGGUUAUUCUUGGAAUAAAAAAAAUAGCGUUUGGUUAGGUAAGAUGGAAUAAGAAAGAUAAUGGGUUUUGUAAAUAAAAAAUAAUGAUAUUAUCCACUUAUUAUAUUUGAAUUUGAAUUUUUAAAUUUUUAAAUUUAUAUUUCUAAAUUUAAAAUUUUAACUUUGAAAUUUAAAAUCUCAAAUUUUAAAUUCAAAAUUUUAAAUUUUAAAUUUCAAACUUUAAAUUUAAGAUCAUAUUUAAAUUAAAAAAAUAUAAAAUAUCAAAUUUUAA
rnacentral:lncRNA from 1 species